UACGGGGGGAGCAAGCGUUGUUCGGAUUUACUGGGCGUAAAGGGCGCGUAGGCGGCCAGCACAAGUCAGUUGUGAAAUCUCCGAGCUUAACUCGGAAAGGUCAACUGAUACUGUGCGGCUAGAGUGCGGAAGGGGCAACUGGAAUUCUUGGUGUAGCGGUGAAAUGCGUAGAGAUCGGAAGGAACAUCAGUGGCGAAGGCGACACUCUGGUCUGACGCUGACGCUGAGGUGCGAAAGCGUGGGUAGCAAACAGG
rnacentral:rRNA from 1 species